AUGGAGAUAGAUCUGAACCGGGACGCCCGCGACGGCGACGCGGAGAGGGUCGCCGCCCCGCAGAGUAACCGCGCCGUCCGAGUGGAGGUCGUCGCCCAGGAGGGCAACGGCGAUGGUGGCAUGGUGGCCGCUGCGGAGGGCGUCGGCGCUGCCCCGGAGACGGUCGGCGUCGGCGCCGAGGAGGGCGUCGCCCCGGAGAAGAACGGCGUCGGCUCCGGUGGCGAGAAGGGGGUCGCCUCGGAGGGGAGCGGCGCCGGCGCCGAGGUGGGCGCUGCCGUGGAGACGAACGGCGUCGCAGGUGACGUCUGGAUCUGCCACCAGUGCCGUCAGAGAAAAACAGGGCUCACGGCAGCUUGCAGAGGAUCCAAGAAGAAUGGCAAAUGCACUCUCAGAUACUGCAAGAAUUGCAUACGUAACAGGUACCCUUUGAUUGCGGAUGAGGUGUUGAAGGAGGAAGCCUGGGAAUGCCCCAAGUGCAGGAAUGACUGCAACUGCAGCAAGUGCAAAAAGAGGAGAGGGGAGGAGCCGGCAGGGCCAAUGGUCCAUUCUGUCAAGAGACCGAAGGGCAAGUGCAAAAAGAGGAGAGGGGAGGAGCCGGCAGGGCCAACGGUCCAUUCUGUCAAGAGACCGAAGGGCAACCUGCGGAGAAUUGAGAGCACCGAUGCUCUCAAGGAUGAAAUAGUCAUACCCAAGGGAACACUUGUGACUUGCGUUGCUGGUGUAGAGAUGCAGCCUGAAGAUGUUGGUGCUGCCAUUCAAUUUUUGGAGUUUUGUCGCUCAUUUGGCGAGAUCUUCCAAAUAAGGAAGGGCCAAUCAGAAAAAAUUGUCAAAGACAUAACUGGAGAUCGUCAACUCCGAGAGGUGUCUUCAGUUGUUGCUGAGCUUCACGCAAACCUGUUGUCUGUCAUGGAAAAUGGCAAUUACAAGCCUUUGAAAUAUCCAAAACAUGGCGAUACAUGGAUAAGAAAACUCAGCAAAUAUAUCACUGACUCGACAUUACACGCAAAAGAUUUCAUCCUUGACUGCUUAAGCCAUGGGCUAUCUGGAUAUAAAAAUUUGAGCCCUUCUCAUAAGCUGGAUGUGCUGAAUUCUCUGUGUGACGAGGCAUUAUCAUCUGAAAAGUUGAGGACUAGGAUUGAAGCUAGAGAGGGUGUGGCCAGACAAAAGAUCCGUGCUGCAACCGAGAAGGAAAAGGAGCUAAAAGAAAGACAGAAUGACAUGGCUAAAACAAUGGGAGGAGAAAUCGCUGGCAAUGAAGAAGCUAAUAAUAUCUUUUGUCAAAUAAAAGAGGCAAAAGAAGUCAAGCAGGCAGCCAUGAAUGAAUUAGAGGAACGGGGAUGUGUCCUCAGGUCCACGCCUGUCAUGGUAGACAAAGGAGUAGCAUACUGGAAGCUGGAUGGCUAUUGUGAUAACAAUACAAACAUAUUGCGCCAAGAAUUUGACAAAGAAGCUACAAUGAAGAACCAAGACAAGUGGUUCAUGUUCAGUGAAGAUGAACAGAAAGUAGUUGAAAAUCAUGUAACUACAAGGUCCCAGCGCCCAUGGAGAAAGGAUAACCGGGUGUAA
rnacentral:rRNA from 1 species